rnacentral:rRNA from 1 species
CCUACGGGUGGCAGCAGUGAGGAAUAUUGGUCAAUGGGCGAGAGCCUGAACCAGCCAAGUCGCGUGAGGGAGUACUGCCCUAUGGGUUGUAAACCUCUUUUGUCGGGGAGCAAAAGCCGGACGUGUCCGGCUGUGAGAGUACCCGAAGAAAAAGCAUCGGCUAACUCCGUGCCAGCAGCCGCGGUAAUACGGAGGAGGCGAGCGUUAUCCGGAUUUGGUGGGUUUAAAGGGUGCGCAGGCGGAUUUUUAAGUCAGCGGUAAAAUCGUGGGGCUCAACCCCAUCCAGCCGUUGAAACUGGGGAUCUAGAGUGUUCGAGAGGUAGGCGGAAUGCGUGGUGUAGCGGUGAAAUGCAUAGAUAUCACGCAGAACCCCGAUUGCGAAGGCAGCAUACCGGUGCACAACUGACGCUCAGGUACGAAAGCGUGGGUAUCGAACAGGAUUAGAUACCCGGGUAGUC